rnacentral:rRNA from 1 species
CAGUCGCCGCGGGAAUACAGAGGGUGCGUGCGUUAAUCGGAUUUACUGGGCGUAAAGCGUGCGUAGGCGGCUUUUUAAGUCGGAUGUGAAAUCCCUGAGCUUAACUUAGGAAUUGCAUUCGAUACUGGGAAGCUAGAGUAUGGGAGAGGAUGGUAGAAUUCCAGGUGUAGCGGUGAAAUGCGUAGAGAUCUGGAGGAAUACCGAUGGCGAAGGCAGCCAUCUGGCCUAAUACUGACGCUGAGGUACGAAAGCAUGGGGAGCAAACAGGAUUAGAGACCCGCGUAGUCCCUGUCUCUUAUAA